AACAAACGCUGGCGGCGUGCCUAAUACAUGCAAGUCGAACGGGGAAAGCUUUCGGGUGAGUACUAGUGGCGCACGGGUGAGGAACGCGUGGGUAAUUUUCCUUGAAGUGGGGGAUAACUAGUCGAAAGAUUAGCUAAUACCGCAUAAGACCACGAAAUCUGAGGAUUUUGAGGUAAAAGGUUUUUCGCUUCAAGAUAAGCCCGCGUAAGAUUAGCUAGUUGGUGAGGUCAUGGCGCACCAAGGCGACGAUCUUUAGCUGGUCUGAGAGGAUGAUCAGCCACACUGGAACUGGGACAUGGUCAAGGCUCCUACGGGAGGCAGCAGUAGGGAAUAUUGCACAAUGGAGGAAACUCUGAUGCAGCGACGCCGCGUGAGUGAUGAAGGACUUCGGUUCGUAAAGCUCUGUCGCAUGGGAAUAAUAAAUGAAGGUACCAUGCAAGAAAGGAUCGGCUAACGUCGUGCCAGCCGCCGCAGUAA
rnacentral:rRNA from 1 species